rnacentral:lncRNA from 1 species
UUUUUUAGACCAAGGUAUUGUGAUUUGAGCCUUCAUCUGAUGCAAGUAUUGGGAUCCACUUGAACUUAUCUGCUACAUGGUCUUGAUGCAACUAUUAUUUUGAUCUCAUGUCUAAUGCCUUAUUCUGAGUUAAUCAAGGAGUAUUUCAUCUGAUACAUGAGAAGACCAAGAAGACUGCUAGCUAUGGGAUUUGCUUGCUUGGAUGUGGCCAUCUUUAUUUGAUGCCUUGAUCUUCAUGAUAUAUGAUAUUGCUAAUUGCUUGUUGAUAAUU